rnacentral:rRNA from 1 species
GGGAAGCUUUGCUCCCGGAUGUUAGCGGCGGACGGGUGAGUAACACGUGGGUAACCUGCCUGUAAGACUGGGAUAACUCCGGGAAACCGGAGCUAAUACCGGAUAGUUCCUUGAACCGCAUGGUUCAAGGAUGAAAGACGGUUUCGGCUGUCACUUACAGAUGGACCCGCGGCGCAUUAGCUAGUUGGUGAGGUAACGGCUCACCAAGGCGACGAUGCGUAGCCGACCUGAGAGGGUGAUCGGCCACACUGGGACUGAGACACGGCCCAGACUCCUACGGGAGGCAGCAGUAGGGAAUCUUCCGCAAUGGACGAAAGUCUGACGGAGCAACGCCGCGUGAGUGAUGAAGGUUUUCGGAUCGUAAAGCUCUGUUGUUAGGGAAGAACAAGUGCAAGAGUAACUGCUUGCACCUUGACGGUACCUAACCAGAAAGCCACGGCUAACUACGUGCCAGCAGCCGCGGUAAUACGUAGGUGGCAAGCGUUGUCCGGAAUUAUUGGGCGUAAAGGGCUCGCAGGCGGUUUCUAAAGUCUGAUGUGAAAGCCCCCGGCUCAACCGGGGAGGGUCAUUGGAAACUGGGAAACUUGAGUGCAGAAGAGGAGAGUGGAAUUCCACGUGUAGCGGUGAAAUGCCGUA